UGUGUCAUCAGGGGAAGGUGCUAGGGGUGGUGGCAGUGUACCAGCCUGGAGCGACUGGCCCUGACCGGACGAAUGAAAUGGCGCGCGGUCGGAGCAGAGAGCGCGGACAGUGCACACCUCGUCUCACGUGGGCAUCGAGUGAGCCAAGGUGGGCACCCCAGGCAGGUAUUCUGGGGUCCUGUGCACUGCGGCCCCCCUGCCCCCCCCUGUACUGAGGCUGGACAUUGUCGGGGCCUCUCCUGCUGCAGCCUUCUGGCAGGGACAGCCUCGCUUCCCAGAGGCCGGGGAGUCCCCACGUGGCCGGGUCUGGCACUGCCAGUGAGGAGCACACUGAACUCAGGAGCUCCCCGCCCUGGCCCUGGCCCCAGCACCCGCUCCGCUCCGUUCACUCUCGCCAGAAAGGGGGCUCCUUGGAGGCCACGUGGUGCUUGGCACAGAAGGGGUGCUUAAUAAACGCCUGCCGACUGA